rnacentral:rRNA from 11 species
GGUUGUAGCAAAAAUACCCUAAAGGCACCAGAUUCGGUAGAUCUUGGAAGCUAAGCAGAGGUUAACCCUGGUUAGUACUUGAAUGGGAGACUGUCAAUGAAUAUGAGACACCGUUGGUU